AUCCAGCUGUCGAGUCCCAAAUAGGACGAAACGCGCGUUCUGGAU
rfam:Schistosoma rodhaini strain Burundi genome assembly, scaffold: SROB_scaffold0002693